rnacentral:misc_RNA from 1 species
UAGGGUCGAUGAGAGUUUGGUGUCUCCCAUCGACCCUAACUUGUUUGAAAUAUAGGCGGUGGAACAUCAUACGUUCUUUCCAUCUUAAUCAGAAUGGAGGUUUUCUCGAUAUGAAGCACUAAGAACUCCAUAAUAAACUUUCAACAAUAUAAAUCUGAAUUAGUUGGACCGAUGAUUUGUUGACAUUGAAUGCUCCAAGGGGAAAGAAAGUUGUGUUUGGAUGUAUUUUUGAAUCAAUCUAGAUGUUUCAUAUUUUG